AGAGAUGUAGAGUGAGUUGUGUUAGCUUGUGUGUUUUAUGUUGAGAGAGAGGAGGAAGAGGAGAAGUUAGGGCUUCUUGAUUUCUUCAUCCUAAGGUCUUGCGCCGAGCGUUGAGCCGUCUGUUUAAAGGUUUUCUCAUCUUUUCUUCUUUUGAGGAGAAUUCAUUCCCAUUAUUGAUGGUAUCCAGGUUUAACGGUUUUUGACCGUGCUACUCUUCACGGUGGUCAUGAUGAUUUGACAUACUUCCAUGAACUUGCAAUUUUCCACAACAAUCAACUUCGCAUCUGCACAACUAAUGGCAUCGAUCCAAAUACAUGAGUAUCAACUUCAUCUCGAUUAUGUCCAACCCCUCGUAGAACUUAUUGUUCGACAUCAUGACAGAUGGUCUGAUUAUCAUGAUCAUCCAAUUUAUCGUGUUCUAAAUAAAAGAUGACCCAAUAAAUGCCAGUUUGAUGACACUACCUCAAAUUCUGAUAAUACACCUUUUGAUUUUGACUGGUAUCUAGAAACAUAGUGAAACUAUGUGAGUGUCUAAUCUGUGUACUAUGAACGUAUUAUCGGCUUCUGUAAUAAUGCAAAGUAACAUGUAAGACAUGCGAAUACUUGUAUUGUUUGUCCUUUAUGUUUGUACUACUUGUCCGGUAAUUGUAUGAGUAAGAGUGACAACGCAUGCAAAUGAAUAAUAAUAUUAAAUAAAGGUGUCUUGCAUGCA